UGUUUCGGCUAGGGGGCCAUCCCGGCUUACCAACCCGAUGCAAACUGCGAAUACCGGAGAAUGUUAUCACGGGAGACACACGGCGGGUGCUAACGUCCGUCGUGAAGAGGGAAACAACCCAGACCGCCAGCUAAGGUCCCAAAGUCAUGGUUAAGUGGGAAACGAUGUGGGAAGGCCCAGACAGCCAGGAUGUUGGCUUAGAAGCAGCCAUCAUUUAAAGAAAGCGUAAUAGCUCACUGGUCGAGUCGGCCUGCGCGGAAGAUGUAACGGGGCUAAACCAUGCACCGAAGCUGCGGCAGCGACACUGUGUGUUGUUGGGUAGGGGAGCGUUCUGUAAGCCUGUGAAGGUGUGUCGUGAGGCAUGCUGGAGGUAUCAGAAGUGCGAAUGCUGACAUAAGUAACGAUAAAGCGGGUGAAAAGCCCGCUCGCCGGAAGACCAAGGGUUCCUGUCCAACGUUAAUCGGGGCAGGGUGAGUCGACCCCUAAGGCGAGGCCGAAAGGCGUAGUCGAUGGGAAACGGGUUAAUAUUCCCGUACUUGGUGUUACUGCGAAGGGGGGACGGAGAAGGCUAUGUUGGCCGGG
rnacentral:rRNA from 2 species